rnacentral:rRNA from 1 species
AUUGAACGCUGGCGGGAUGCCUUACACAUGCAAGUCGAACGGAGUGGCGAACGGGUGAGUAAUGUAUCGGAACGUGCCCGGUAGCGGGGGAUAACUACGCGAAAGCGUCGCUAAUACCGCAUACUAUUGGAGCGGCCGAUGUCGGAUUAGCUAGUUGGUGGGGUAACGGCCAACCAAGGCGACGAUCCGUAGCUGGUCUGAGAGGACGAUCAGUCACACUGGGACUGAGACACGGUCCAGACUCCUACGGGAGGCAGCAGUGGGGAAUGUUGGACAAUGGGGGAAACCCUGAUCCAGCCAUGCCGCGUGUGCGAUGAAGGCCUUCGGGUUGUAAAGCACUUUUGGUAGGAAAGCGGUACCUGCAGAAUAAGCACCGGCUAACUACGUGCCAGCAGCCGCGGUAAUAC